AGUGAACGCUGGCGGUAGGCCUAACACAUGCAAGUCGAACGGCAGCACAGUAAGAGCUUGCUCUUACGGGUGGCGAGUGGCGGACGGGUGAGGAAUACAUCGGAAUCUACUUUUUCGUGGGGGAUAACGUAGGGAAACUUACGCUAAUACCGCAUACGACCUACGGGUGAAAGCAGUGGAUCUUCGGACCUUGCGCGAUUGAAUGAGCCGAUGUCGGAUUAGCUAGUUGGCGGGGUAAAGGCCCACCAAGGCGACGAUCCGUAGCUGGUCUGAGAGGAUGAUCAGCCACACUGGAACUGAGACACGGUCAAGACUCCUACGGGAGGCAGCAGUGGGGAAUAUUGGACAAUGGGCGCAAGCCUGAUCCAGCCAUACCGCGUGGGUGAAGAAGGCCUUCGGGUUGUAAAGACCUUUUGUUGGGAAAGAAAAGCAGCAGGUUAAUACCCCGCUGUUCUGACGGUACCCAAAGAAUAAGCACCGGCUAACUUCGUG
rnacentral:rRNA from 1 species